rnacentral:rRNA from 1 species
GACGAACGCUGGCGGCGUGCUUAACACAUGCAAGUCGAACGGAAAGGCCCUGCUUUUGUGGGGUGCUCGAGUGGCGAACGGGUGAGUAACACGUGAGUAACCUGCCCUUGACUUUGGGAUAACUUCAGGAAACUGGGGCUAAUACCGGAUAGGAGCUCCUGCUGCAUGGUGGGGGUUGGAAAGUUUCGGCGGUUGGGGAUGGACUCGCGGCUUAUCAGCUUGUUGGUGGGGUAGUGGCUUACCAAGGCUUUGACGGGUAGCCGGCCUGAGAGGGUGAACGGCCACAUGGGGACUGAGAUACGGCGCAGACUCCUACGGGAGGCAGCAGUGGGGAAUAUUGCACAAUGGGCGGGAGCCUGAUGCAGCAACGCCGGGUGCGUGAUGACGGCCUUCGGGUUGUAAACCGCUGUCGCCUGUGACGAAGCGUGAGUGACGGUAAUGGGUAAAGAAGCACCGGCUAACUACGUG